UACGGGGGGGGCAAGCGUUGUCCGGAUUUAUUGGGCGUAAAGAGCUCGUAGGCGGUUUGGUUAGUCAGGUGUGAAAUCUCCACGCUCAACGUGGAGGGGCCACCUGAUACUGCCAUGACUUGAGUCCGGUAGGGGAGUGUGGAAUUCCCGGUGUAGCGGUGAAAUGCGCAGAUAUCAGGAAGAACACCCGUGGCGAAAGCGGCUCUCUGGGCCGAUACUGACGCUGAGGAGCGAAAGCGUGGGGAGCGAACAGG
rnacentral:rRNA from 1 species